rnacentral:rRNA from 1 species
GAUGAACGCUGGCGGCGUGCCUAGUACAUGCCAGUCGAGCGAACAGGCGAGGAGCUUGCUCCUCUGACGUUAGCGGCGGACGGGUGAGUAACACGUGGAUAACCUACCUAUAAGACUGGGAUAACUUCGGGAAACCGGAGCUAAUACCGGAUAAUAUAUUGAACCGCAUGGUUCAAUAGUGAAAGACGGUUUUGCUGUCACUUAUAGAUGGAUCCGCGCCGCAUUAGCUAGUUGGUAAGGUAACGGCUUACCAAGGCAACGAUGCGUAGCCGACCUGAGAGGGGGAUGGGCCACAUGGGAAUGGAAAACGGGCCCGACCCCCAAGGGGAGCAGGAGUAGGGAAAUUUCCCCAAGGGGCGAAAGCCCGGCGGAGGCAAGCCGGGGGGGGUGAUAAGGGGUUCGGAAUCGAAAACUGUUUUUAUAGGGAAAAAAAAAAGUGGAAAGAAAUGUGCCCGGUUUGAAGGGAACCAAUGAGAAAGGCCCCGCUAAAUUAGUG